rnacentral:lncRNA from 1 species
AUGACGAAGGAGCGCGCGCAAAUCUUCAGUCCAGCCGAGCAGGAGCUGUUGUUGGAGGGCUACAGGGAAUUUAGCGCUAUUAUACGGACUAAAGGCAAUACUGCAAAAGCAGCCAAAACAAGGAAAGAGGGCUGGCAAAAAGUGGCAGACAGAUUAAACGCAGUGAACACCAGCACACCAAGAACCUGGGAACAGGUUAAAAUAAAAUACAAAAAUAUCCUUCAAACAGCAAACAGGAAAAAGGCAGAAUUGCAGAAAAAUGGGGGCAGGUCAUCUGGUCCGGACUUCAUCCCGGCCGAAGAGCUGGCUACUCACCGGAGCAUUCGCCGGCCUAUUUUAGAGGCGAUCAAAGGCGGGACGUCCUCUUUGGAGCCAGUGGCAGGAUGUAGCAGUGGUGGCUUCAUUUCUGUGACUGGAGAUGUCAUCACACUUGUGCCAGUGACUAAAGAGGACCCAGGAGAUGGGUUCAAUGAUGAGACACUGUCUGAGUUCUCUUAUGCAGAAGAGGAUCCCGUAGAGAGAAAAUUCCUGCCUUCUGCCGCUCAGUCGGAGCAGUCAGCAUCGUCCCAGAACAGAGGCAAAGAGGAGGAUGUGUAUGCUAUCUACAAAAGGAAUCUCCUCCAGAAGAUGGAAUACCGUCAGUUAAAAAUGAAAAAACUCGAGCAGGACAUUGAAGUUGACGAACUGAAAAAAACAAAAUUGCUGUUACAAAUAGAACUGCUUCAGAAACAGCAGGCUUAAAAGCAGCUGGGUCCGCAAACCAAGUGGAAAAUUGCUAUAUUUAGGAUCAUUUCCGGUGUGAAUAGUGAACUGCACUGUGAGGACUUUUUUUUAUUUUUUAUUCUGCAGCAUCGUAAAAGCAGUUCAGAUCCUGACUGGGCCUGGGGUCACCUAGUCUACACCUUGGAACAGGGAACUUUAUCAAAGUUUUCUUUUAGUCUAGGAUUUGAUUUAAUCCAGGAAGGAGAUAUUGAAUUUGGUUUACAUUCUGUUUUUGCACAAAUCAUACAUUAAAUUAUGCUUCUGUUUUUACACUAUUGUGUGUCAUUUAGAAAUAAAAUGUUUUGUAUGGGGAACUUCA